rnacentral:rRNA from 1 species
CACGUAGUUAGCCGGGGCUUCUUACUCAGGUACCGUCAUUCUCUUCCCUGCUGAUAGAGCUUUACAUACCGAAAUACUUCUUCACUCACGCGGCGUCGCUGCAUCAGGGUUUCCCCCAUUGUGCAAUAUUCCCCACUGCUGCCUCCCGUAGGAGUCUGGGCCGUGUCUCAGUCCCAAUGUGGCCGGCCACCCUCUCAGGUCGGCUACUGAUCGUCGCCUUGGUGGGCCUCUACCCCGCCAACCAGCUAAUCAGACGCGGAUCCAUCCCAUACCACCGGAGUUUUUCACACAGAAACAUGCAUUCCCGUGCGCUUAUGCGGUAUUAGCAGCCGUUUCCGGCUGUUAUCCCCCGGUAUGGGGCAGGUUAUCCACGCGUUACUCACCCGUCCGCCACUAAGUAUCAACUCUUCAUCCGUUAGAAUUCAAAGUUAAUACUCCGUUCGACUUGCAUGUGUUAAGCACGCCGCCAGCGUUCAUCCUGAGCCAGGAUCAAACUCU